rnacentral:rRNA from 1 species
AGAGUUUGAUCCUGGCUCAGGACGAACGCUGGCGGCGUGCUUAACACAUGCAAGUCUAACGGUAAGGCCCCAGCUUGCUGGGGUACACGAGUGGCGAACGGGUGAGUAACACGUGGGUGACCUGCCCCGCACUUCGGGAUAAGCCUGGGAAACUGGGUCUAAUACCGGAUAGGACCGCACCGUGAGGGUGUGGUGGAAAGUUUUUCGGUGUGGGAUGGGCCCGCGGCCUAUCAGCUUGUUGGUGGGGUAAUGGCCUACCAAGGCGGCGACGGGUAGCCGGCCUGAGAGGGUGGACGGCCACAUUGGGACUGAGACACGGCCCAGACUCCUACGGGAGGCAGCAGUGGGGAAUAUUGCACAAUGGGCGGAAGCCUGAUGCAGCGACGCCGCGUGGGGGAUGACGGCCUUCGGGUUGUAAACUCCUUUCACCAUCGACGAAGGUUUUCUGACGGUAGAUGGAGAAGAAGCACCGGCUAACUACGUGCCAGCAGCCGCGGUAAUACGUAGGGUGCGAGCGUUGUCCGGAAUUACUGGGCGUAAAGAGCUCGUAGGUGGUUUGUCGCGUCGUCUGUGAAAUUCCGGGGCUUAACUCCGGGCGUGCAGGCGAUACGGGCAUAACUUGAGUACUGUAGGGGAGACUGGAAUUCCUGGUGUAGCGGUGAAAUGCGCAGAUAUCAGGAGGAACACCGGUGGCGAAUGCGGGUCUCUGGGCAGUAACUAACGCUGAGGAGCGAAAGCAUGGGUAGCGAACAGGAUUAGAUACGCUGGUAGUCCAUGCCGUAAACGG